rnacentral:rRNA from 1 species
AUUGAACGCUGGCGGCAGGCCUAACACAUGCAAGUCGAGCGAGCGGCGGACGGGUGAGUAAUGUAUGGGGAACUGCCCGAUGGAGGGGGAUAACUACUGGAAACGGUGGCUAAUACCGCAUACUAUCGGAUGAACCCAUAUGGGAUUAGCUAGUAGGUGGGGUAAAGGCUCACCAAGGCGACGAUCCAUAGCCGGCCUGAGAGGGUGAACAGCCACACUGGAACUGAGACACGGCCCAGACUCCUACGGGAGGCAGCAGUGGGGAAUAUUGCACAAUGGGCGAAAGUCUGAUCGAGCCAUGCCGCGUGGAUGAAGAAGGUUUUCGGGUUGUAAAGCACUUUUAUUGGGGAGGCGGUAUCUGAAGAAGAAGCAACGGCUAACUACGUGCCAGCAGCCGCGGUAAUAC